rnacentral:lncRNA from 1 species
CCAAAUGUAGAACAAAUUAGACACACUUAAAGAAAACAACUUGAAAAAAAAUGUGGAAGAGCUGAAGAAACCAAAACAACUUCUUACUAGAGACAAUAAAAACAUGGAAGUAUUCAAGAAAGAAAUAGAAACCCUAGGCAGAUAUCAGCUCAGAAUUCCCCUCAGAUUGCAGCAUUGUAAGAAGAGAGCGUCAAACUUGCUAAGGAGCUGAAGAGAAGCACAGAUGAGGUCACAAGUCAUCAAAAUUGGGAAGAAAAAUCUGUGCUCAAUAAUCAGCUAUUAGAAAUGAAAAGGAAAGAAUCUCAGUGCAUAAAAUACACAGAUAAAAUAUAAACUUUUUUGCAGAAAUCCAUCAGUAUUACUAAUGGCUUACUCACA